UACGGAGGAUCCGAGCGUUAUCCGGAUUUAUCGGGUUUAAAGGGUGCGUAGGUGGCCUGGUAAGUCAGGGGUGAAAGACGGUAGCUCAACUAUCGCAGUGCCUUUGAUACUGCCGGGCUUGAAUACAGUUGAAGUGGGCGGAAUGUGACAAGUAGCGGUGAAAUGCAUAGAUAUGUCACAGAACACCGAUUGCGAAGGCAGCUCACUAAAGUGUGAUUGACACUGAGGCACGAAAGCGUGGGGAUCAAACAGG
rnacentral:rRNA from 1 species